rnacentral:rRNA from 2 species
ACAGAGGGUGCAAGCGUUAAUCGGAAUUACUGGGCGUAAAGCGCGCGUAGGUGGUUUGUUAAGUUGAAUGUGAAAUCCCCGGGCUCAACCUGGGAACUGCAUCCAAAACUGGCAAGCUAGAGUAUGGUAGAGGGUAGUGGAAUUUCCUGUGUAGCGGUGAAAUGCGUAGAUAUAGGAAGGAACACCAGUGGCGAAGGCGACUACCUGGACUGAUACUGACACUGAGGUGCGAAAGCGUGGGGAGCAAACAG